GCCGGGCAUGGUGACGCAUGCCUGUAGUCCCAGCUACUUGGGAGGCUGAGGCAGAAGAAUUGCUUGAACCCAGGAGGCAGAGGUUGCAGUGAUCCGAGAUCGUACCAUUGCACUCCAGCCUGGCUGACAGAGCCAGAUUCUGUCUCAA
ensembl:misc_RNA Metazoa_SRP Metazoan signal recognition particle RNA